rnacentral:rRNA from 1 species
UACAGGGGGUGCAAACGUUGCUCGGAAUCAUUGGGCGUAAAGCGCGCGUAGGCGGUUGCUUAUGUCGGAUGUGAAAGCCCUCGGCUUAACUGAGGAAGUGCAUCCGAAACUGAGCAGCUAGAGUACGAAAGAGGGUCGCGGAAUUCCCGGUGUAGAGGUGAAAUUCGUAGAUAUCGGGAGGAACACCGGUGGCGAAGGCGGCGACCUGGGUCGAGACUGACGCUGAGGCGCGAAAGCGUGGGAGCAAACGGG